UGAGUGCGAGCUGCUACGGCAGCGAAGUGGGUGACGUCAAGCUUCCAAGAAAAGCCCUAGACCCGUUAAGGCAUGAUUGCCUGUACCCGAAACCGACACAGGUGGGGUGGUAGAGAAUACCGAGGGGCGCGAGGUAACUCUCUCUAAGGAACUCGGCAAAAUGGCCCCGUAACUUCGGGAGAAGGGGUGCCAGCGAGAGCUGGUCGCAGUGAAGAGGCCCAGGCGACUGUUUACCAAAAACACAGGUCUCCGCUAAGUCGCAAGACGAUGUAUGGGGGCUGACGCCUGCCCAGUGCCGGAAGGUUAAGGAAGCUGGUCAGCGCAAGCGAAGCUGGCGACUGAAGCCCCGGUGAACGGCGGCCGUAACAAUAACGGUCCUAAGGUAGCGAAAUUCCUUGUCGGGUAAGUUCCGACCCGCACGAAAGGCGUAACGAUCUGGGCGCUGUCUCGGAGAGAGGCUCGGCGAAAUAGAAUUGUCUGUGAAGAUGCGGACUACGUGCACCCGGACAGAAAGACCCUAUGAAGCUUUACUGUAGCUUGGUAUUGUGCUCGGGCUCGGAAUGCGCAGGAUAGGUGGGAGGCAUUGAUCCAUUGCUUGCGGGUGAUGGUGAGCCACUGGUGAGAUACCACUCUUUUCGAGCUUAAGUUCUAACGGCCACCCGUUAUCCGGGGGCCGGACAGUAUCAGGUGGGCAGUUUGACUGGGGCGGUCGCCUCCUAAAAGGUAACGGAGGCGCGCAAAGGUCUGCUCAGGCUGGUUGGAAAUCAGCCGACGAGUGUAAAAGCAGAAGCAGGCUUGACUGUGAGACCUACAAGUCGAACAGGGAGGAAACUCGGCUUUAGUGAUCCGACGGUUCUGCGUGGAAGGGCCGUCGCUCAACGGAUAAAAGUUACUCUAAGGAUAACAGGCUGAUCUCCCCCAAGAGUUCACAUCGACGGGGAGGUUUGGCACCUCGAUGUCGGCUCAUCGCAACCUGGGGCUGAAGUCGGUCCCAAGGGUUGGGCUGUUCGCCCAUUAAAGCGGUACGCGAGCUGGGUUCAGAACGUCGUGAGACAGUUCGGUCCAUAUCCGGUGCACGCGCAGGAAUAUUGAGAGGAUUUCUCCCUAGUACGAGAGGACCGGGAGGAACGCACCUCUGGUGUGCCAGUUAUCGUGCCAACGGUAAACGCUGGGUAGCCAUGUGCGGAGAGGAUAACCGCUGAAAGCAUCUAAGUGGGAAGCCCACCUCAAGAUGAGUAUUCCCAUGGCGUUAAGCCAGUAAGGUCACGGGAAGAACACCCGUUGAUAGGCUCUAUGUGGAAGCGCAGUAAUGCGUGAAGCAGAGGAGUACUAAUAGACCGAGGGCUUGACCGC
rnacentral:rRNA from 1 species